rnacentral:rRNA from 1 species
AGAGUUUGAUUAUGGCUCGAGGACGAACGCUGGCGGCGUGCUUAACACAUGCAAGUCGAGCGAUGAAGCUUCUUCGGAAGUGGAUUAGCGGCGGACGGGUGAGUAACACGUGGGUAACCUGCCUCAUAGAGGGGAAUAGCCUUCCGAAAGGAAGAUUAAUACCGCAUAAGAUUGUAAUAUCGCAUGAUAUAGCAAUUAAAGGAGCAAUCCGCUAUGAGAUGGACCCGCGUCGCAUUAGCUAGUUGGUGAGGUAACGGCUCACCAAGGCGACGAUGCGUAGCCGACCUGAGAGGGUGAUCGGCCACAUUGGGACUGAGACACGGCCCAGACUCCUACGGGAGGCAGCAGUGGGGAAUAUUGCACAAUGGGGGAAACCCUGAUGCAAGCAACGCCGCGUGAGUGAUGACGGUCUUCGGAUUGUAAAGCUCUGUCUUCAGGGACGAUAAUGACGGUACCUGAGGAGGAAGCCACGGCUAACUACGUGCCAGCCGCGGC